AGUGGAGGGGGAACAACCUAGUUGUGCGUGUGUAAAGGUAGUGCCAAGAAAAGCGGUGAUCAUGAUGAAAAUCAAUUCCCGGUACCCGAAACCGACACAGGUGGGCAAGUAGAGAAUACUAAGGGGCGCGAGGUAACUCUCUCCAAGGAACUCGGCAAAAUGACCCCGUAACUUAGGGAGAAGGGGUGCCACCGAGAGGUGGUCGCAGUGAAGAGGCCCAGGCGACUGUUUAGCAAAAACAUAGGUCUCUGCAAACUCGAAAGAGGAGGUAUAGGGGCUGACGCCUGCCCAGUGCCGGAAGGUUAAAGAAGUUGGUCAGUCUUAGGAUGAAGCUAGCGACUGAAGCCCCGGUGAACGGCGGCCGUAACUAUAACGGUCCUAAGGUAGCGAAAUUCCUUGUCGGGUAAGUUCCGACCCGCACGAAUGGCGUAACGAUCUGGGCGCUGUCUCGGAGAGAGGCUCGGCGAAAUAGGAUUGUCUGUGAAGAUACGGACUACCUGCAUUUGGACAGAAAGACCCUAUGAAGCUUUACUAUAGCUUGGAAUUGUGUUCGGGCUUCCUGUGCGCAGGAUAGGUGGGAGGCGUAGAAGGUAUUCUUGUGGGGAUACUGGAGCCAACGGUGAGAUACCACUCUCAGGAGGCUAGAAUUCUAACUUAAUUAAGGACAGUUUCAGGUGGGUAGUUUGACUGGGGCGGUCGCCUCCAAAAAGGUAACGGAGGCGUACAAAGGUUCCCUCAGACUGGUUGGAAAUCAGUCGCAGAGUGCAAAGGCAGAAGGGAGCUUGACUGCGAGAAGUACAGUUCGAGCAGGGUGGAAACACGGUCUUAGUGAUCCGACGGUGCUGUGUGGAAGGGCCGUCGCUCAACGGAUAAAAGUUACUCUAGGAUAACAGGCUGAUCUCCCCCAAGAGUUCACAUCGACGGGGAGGUUUGGCACCUCGAUGUCGGCUCAUCGCAACCUGGGGCGGAAGUACGUCCCAAGGGUUGGGCUGUUCGCCCAUUAAAGCGGUACGUGAGCUGGGUUCAGAACGUCGUGAGACAGUUCGGUCCAUAUCCGAUGUAGGCGUGAGAAUAUUGAGAGGAGCCUUCCUUAGUACGAGAGGACCGGGAAGGACGCACCGCUGGUGUACCUGUUAUGAUGCCAAUUGUAAACGCAGGGUAGCCAAGUGCGGAGAGGAUAACCGCUGAAAGCAUCUAAGUGGGAAGCCCACCUCAAGAUGAGUAUUCUGGUGUAAGGUCACGGGAAGACGACCCGUAAAUAGGCACGAGGUGGAAGUGCAGAGAUGUAUGGAGCCGAAGUGUACUAAUAGACCGUCGGCUUGACC
rnacentral:rRNA from 1 species